UUAAAUUGAAGAGUUUGAUCAUGGCUCAGAUUGAACGCUGGCGGCAGGCUUAACACAUGCAAGUCGAACGGUAACAUGAGUGCUUGCACUUGAUGACGAGUGGCGGACGGGUGAGUAAUGUAUGGGGAUCUGCCGAGUGGCGAGGGACAACAGUUGGAAACGACUGCUAAUACCUCAUAAAGUUGAGAAACCAAAGCAUGGGACCUUCGGGCCAUGUGCCAUUUGAUGAACCCAUAUGGGAUUAGCUGGUUGGUGAGGUAAGGGCUCACCAAGGCGACGAUCUCUAGCUGGUCUGAGAGGAUGACCAGCCACACUGGAACUGAGACACGGUCCAGACUCCUACGGGAGGCAGCAGU
rnacentral:rRNA from 1 species